rnacentral:rRNA from 1 species
GUGAAUUCGACUCGUGCAAACCGCAAUAAUCUAGUCUCAGUUCUAAUUGGGGGCUGAAACUGGCCUCUGUGAGGAUGGUG